rnacentral:rRNA from 1 species
GUUUGAUCCUGGCUCAGAUUGAACGCUGGCGGCAUGCUUUACACAUGCAAGUCGAACGGUAACAGGUCUUCGGAUGCUGACGAGUGGCGAACGGGUGAGUAAUACAWCGGAACGUGCCUAGUAGUGGGGGAUAACUACUCGAAAGAGUAGCUAAUACCGCAUGAGAUCUACGGAUGAAAGCAGGGGACCUUSGGGCCUUGUGCUACUAGAGCGGMUGAUGGCAGAUUAGGUAGUUGGUGGGGUAAAGGCUUACCAAGCCUGCGAUCUGUAGCUGGUCUGAGAGGACGACCAGCCACACUGGGACUGAGACACGGCCCAGACUCCUACGGAGGCAGCAGUGGGGAAUUUUGGACAAUGGGCGAAAGCCUGAUCCAGCAAUGCCGCGUGCAGGAUGAAGGCCCUCGGGUUGUAAACUGCUUUUGUACGGAACGAAAAGCCUGGGGCUAAUAUCCYCGGGUCAUGACGGUACCGUAAGAAUAAGCACCGGCUAACUACGUGCCAGCAGCCGCGGUAAUACGUAGGGUGCAAGCGUUAAUCGGAAUUACUGGGGUAAAGCGUGCGCAGGCGGUUUUGUAAGACAGUGGUGAAAUCCCCGGGCUCAACCUGGGAACUGCCAUUGUGACUGCAAGGSUAGAGUGCGGCAGAGGGGGAUGGAAUUCCGMGUGUAGCAGYGAAAUGCGUAGAUAUGSGGAGGAACACCGAKGGCGAAGGCAAUCCCCUGGGCCUGCACUGACGCUCAUGCACGAAAGCGUGGGGAGCAAACAGGAUUAGAUACCCUGGUAGUCCACGCCCUAAACGAUGUCAACUKGUUGUUGGGRRWUWACUUUCUCAGUAACGAAGCUAACGCGUGAAGUUGACCGCCUGGGGAGUAYGGCCGCAAGGUUGAAACUCAAAGGAAUUGACGGGGACCCGCACAASCGGWGGAUGAUGUGGUUUAAUUYGAUGCAACGCGAAAAACCUUACCCACCYUUGACAUGGCMGGAACUUACCAGAGAUGGUUUGGYGCYYGWMAGMRAMYSWSMACWSWGKWKCKGCMUSRCUGUCSWSWGSYCKYGUYGYGAGAUGUUGGGUUAAGUCCCGCAACGAGCGCAACCCUUGCCAUUAGUUGCUACAUUCAGUUGAGCACUCUAAUGGGACUGCCGGUGACAAACCGGAGGAAGGUGGGGAUGACGUCAAGUCCWCAUGGCCCUUAUAGGUGGGGCUACACACGUCAUACAAUGGCUGGUACAAAGGGUUGCCAACCCGCGAGGGGGAGCUAAUCCCAUAAAGCCAGUCGUAGUCCGGAUCGCAGUCUGCAACUCGACUGCGUGAAGUCGGAAUCGCUAGUAAUCGUGGAUCAGAAUGUCACGGUGAAUACGUUCCCGGGUCUUGUACACACCGCCCGWCACACCAUGGGAGCGGGUCUCGCCAGAAGUAGGUAGCCUAACCGMAAGGAGGGCGCUUACMACGGSGGGGUUCGUGACUGGGGUGAAGUGGUAACAAGGUA